AGUGGACGCUGGCGGUAGGCCUAACACAUGCAAGUCGAACGGCAGCACAGUAAGAGCUUGCUCUUACGGGUGGCGAGUGGCGGACGGGUGAGGAAUACAUCGGAAUCUACUUUUUCGUGGGGGAUAACGUAGGGAAACUUACGCUAAUACCGCAUACGACCUACGGGUGAAAGCAGGGGAUCUUCGGACCUUGCGCGAUUGAAUGAGCCGAUGUCGGAUUAGCUAGUUGGCGGGGUAAAGGCCCACCAAGGCGACGAUCCGUAGCUGGUCUGAGAGGAUGAUCAGCCACACUGGAACUGAGACACGGUCCAGACUCCUACGGGAGGCAGCAGUGGGGAAUAUUGGACAAUGGGCGCAAGCCUGAUCCAGCCAUACCGCGUGGGUGAAGAAGGCAUGCGGGUUGUAAAGCCCUUUUGUUGGGAAAGAAAAGCAGCAGGUUAAGACCCCGCUGUUCUGACGGUACCCAAAGAAUAAGCACCGGCGAACUUCGU
rnacentral:rRNA from 1 species